rnacentral:rRNA from 1 species
UCCGUAGGCGGGCGAUUAAGUCAGAGGUGAAAUCCCACAGCUCAACUGUGGAACUGCCUUUGAUACUGAUUGUCUUGAGUUAUAGUGAAGUAGAUAGAAUGUGUAGUGUAGCGGUGAAAUGCAUAGAUAUUACACAGAAUACCGAUUGCGAAGGCAGUCUACUAACUGUAUACUGACGCUAAUGGACGAAAGCGUGGGGAGCGAACAGGAUUAGAUACCCUGGUAGUCC